AUGAUUUCUUCUGUCGAGGUAAAUACCGAACUUCAGGCCGGUGACGAAGAAAAUAGAAGCUAGACAAAAGUAGCCGAAGACGGACCUUCAACCAAAGUCGGCUGUAAACGGAAAAUUCCCUUGUGGUUCCUUGGACCAUUGCCUUCGUGUUGCCCAACAACCCAACCUCCUCAAGCAAACUCUCAUGGACAAAUCUGGUUUUCUUCAUUCACUGCUGGCAAUGAACUGCUCCUCUUCAUCCACUGCCUGUGAGUCUACCUGUCCGCCCUCCAAUGCAAGCCAAGACAUUCUGUCGGCUCUCAGCUCCCUCUUUAGGACCAACCUAACCCCAGUCCCUACAGUAAUUCCUCCCCUGGCGGAUUUUUUUUCAUUAAUCCAGUAAGCUACCCAAUCUGUCAUUAGAUUCCCAAUACGGCGUACAUACAGUAUCUCGCCUCUGCUUUCAUCUCUCCCUAGUGUCCCGGCAAGAACCCCUCUUUCUGUCAUUUUUGUCACUUGUACAAUAAAUCACCCUAUUUGAUUUCCAAGUUUCCCUGGUGUGUUCUGUCUGUGGGUCAGGCAUCUUGCCUCCAACAUGACAGGUUAUUUCCAUAAUAGGAUUUCUAUAAACUUCCCUCCAGUUAGUGUGUAUUGUUUCUCACAAAUGACUCAUCCUCAUCAUGGGUAAUGCAUUCUUGAAUGGUUCUUGAGUUACUGACAGCUUGGAUGUUAAAAAAUGAGUGUUAAAAAAGUAAUGAGUUGAAUAAUGGGAAACCCUUUUCAAGGGACCAGAUGCAUGGGUGCAACAUUUCCUGUCCCUUGCAAGAUAUUUGCAUUCAAAUAACAUAACACCAAUGGGUUACUGUGCUGGACAGAAGAAACAAUCCAACUUUGUGUCUCAGUCAAAGCUUUGAUGCAGUCAUUGGUGUGGUGCCCCAUAUGCUAUUUUCCUUACUGGAAAAUUGCAUAGCACUACCUUGUGACAGCAUUCCCUACUUCCUGUAAGAAAAAAGUACCUAUAUUCAAAAAGGCUGGUUGGGAGGAAGACCUACAAAGCACAGGAUCCACUGCCUUGCAGAAGUGUCCCUACCCCUGGGACUUUUUUAUAUUUUGUGAUGGGAGGCAGUCUGUCUUUCAAAUUACUUGGGAGGGGGGGUAAAAAAAGAAUAAUGUUAUAACCUUGCUGCAGGGACUUUCUGUAGACAAAUGCAAGGUACCGCAUGCUUAUACAAUAGAAGAAAAAUUACUCGUAUUCAGAAACUCUCCAGGGUUUUGGUUUCUUAUGUUGCUUAGAGAUGGUAAAUAUUUCCAAACAUUUGACACAGGUGUUCCACGGAGAGAAACAUUAGAGCGUCUUGUUUUCAAAUGUUAAUAUCCAAAAAGAAAAAGGUCAAAUGAACAAAUGUGGCACAAAAAACUGAAACAACAUAAAAAAACUAAGUUUGUCAAUUUUCUGAUACCUAAAGACUACUUUAUCCUUAGUUUUCCCAAUAUUUUUGUUAAAUGAUUGAAAUGACUAGUAAAACUUUUUCUUUUCUUUUCUCUGUUUUUCUCUUUCUAAUUUCCUUGACAUUUUCUCAAACUCUGUAGUGUAUGACUGUGUGUUGAGAUGAAUAGUCAUAAUGGUGAGAAAUAUAGUUACGGUUUAAAAAUCACCUUUCUUCAAAGCGUAGACAAGUGCAAAACCAUGACUUAGACUGCAGCUUAGUCAUUUAUUUUGGUAAGAGGACAUUUAUCUGUAUGAAGAUGUUUGGUUAAAAUCAUUACUUGUUAGUGAGAUCAACGCUAUGAUUCACUUAUUGUCAUAACACUCUGCAGUACAGACCCUAUUGAAGAGAAUGAUGUCACCAUAAGUUUCACAAUGUGGUUGUGCAGAAAAUGAAUGGUUUGGCAUUAGCCUGUCUGUGGGCUGCAUCUCUUUUCACUUUUUAUGCUCUGUCACAGGCUCCAAAUUCCCACAGGACUGACACACAAGCCCUGAAGUGAAAGAAAAAAAAAAAAGAGAGAUGGAUGGAGUAAUCCAUAAUUGGAUUCACUGCCUAAUGGCUUUCAUUAGGCAUAUACAACCAAGAAGACUAAAGAAUCUAUUGCUGAGAUGUUAGUUUUGGGAAAAGUAACGAUAGUUUGUGAUAAACCUCAAAGAUCAAAUCCCCUCCAUUAUUGAAUUACAUUCUUCCCACUGGGUUGCCUGUUUAAAACCAUUGUGUCCGUCAUUUGUACUCAGAUGACAAUGAAGCUUGCAGUUGUGAUCAGACAUUUAGCGAAACACAGCAUGGGUAUAAUUAUUCUUUGAAUGGUAAAAAAAAGAAAAGAAAAUUGUACAACAAUUAUCUAUAAUUCUCAAACACACAUUAGACACUUUCUUUGGUACACUUUGCUAGUAAGGGUUGAAUCCACAUUUCCCGUCACAACUGCCUUAAUCAUUUGUGAUGAAAUUUCUGUUUGCCACCCGUGAUGCUAAUCUUCUAUUGCACCACAUCCCAACGCUACUGGUUUGGUGAAUGUGGAGGAGUAUGGUGGCUGCGAAGAACAGUUAACUCAGUGAUGUUUAAGUCAUCAAUUUGAGUGAAUUUUCAGCCUUGUGAUAAAGAUGUAUUACCUUAUAAUGAGUACACAGUGGUGUACAGCAAUACAUACAAUACUCGAGUAUGCUGUAGCACUUAAAUAAUGCUCAGUUGAUACUAAAUUGACACAGAAAUGCCAGGAAAAUAUCCCCCACACUACCACAGCACUACCAGAACCCAAAACCAUUGAUAUAAGGCAGGAUGGAUCAAUGCUUUCUUGAUGUUUAUACUAAAUUCUAACCCUAUCAUCUGAGUAUUGCAGCUGAAACUGAGACCUAUUGGACCAGGCAAUAGUUUUCCAAUCUUUGGUCCAUUUUGCAGAGUUUGUGAGAAUUGUAGUUUAGUUUCCUGUUGCUUAGCUACUGGUGUGGCAUCUGGUGUGGUCCUCUGCUGCUGUAGUCGAUCUGCUUCAGCGUUUGAAAUGCUUUGCUGCUAGUGUUUUUAUGUCUUUAAAGAUCUUCUUGUUUUUCUUUUUUUUUUCUUUGUCACUAAACAAAGUGUCACUAAAGUAGGGCUUUUAAAAAGUCCCAGUAAAACUUCCAGCUUCUCCACCCAAUCCCACAACUUUCAAAUGGAGAUUGUCUCAUAAACACAACAGUCUGGCACAAAAAAAGAUUGUGUUUUUUCAUAUGUCUAUGGAUUCAUGCACCUCUGGGUUUUUCCUUGUACACCAAAACAGAAAGACAUUUGAAUUAUGUUCAUAAACCUUUGUAUGCCAUGACUUGUAAACUGCAGUGGCAUUGCAGGACAUAUCCGGUUCACAGGAUUUUGUGUUCAAGCAGGUUUGAAAGGCAAAUUAGAGGUGAUGUUUUUGCAUAGAGAGGACACAGAUUAAAUAUAUACAUAGGAAGUGUUCAUAAGUUACAGGUUGGUGAAUGUUUAAAAUUAACAGGACGACUAAAGUCCAACAUUUCUUGCCACAAACAAUCAUCUUCACAUAUCUUCAGAAAGAAAAAAACAGACUUACAGAUGGAUAAAAAAAAUUAUGUGGAUGAAUUGUACUUGAUAUUUCUCCUGCUAGAACAUAAUGUGAAGUUAAAUGUCUUAGUUGCUUAUUUUUAAUUCUGGUUAAUCUUACAGUAGCAAUAGGUUAUGGUAAAAAGUCUAUUUUUAGGGAAGCUGACUUGGCGUCAGUGGAAACACAUACACUCAUUUGACUGACAAAAUUUGGAUGUCUAAUUGCCCAGAUAAGGCUCUUCAAAGUUACUUUUCAGCAGAACAAUCUAAGAUUAACAUUCAUGUUAGUUUACUUCCUGUAAAUGUGUACCAUCCAACAGUGGGCUCAUUCACAAUUUGGACAAGACCGCAAAAGAAGGGGACAGGCUUUUGAGGAAAAGCUUUGCUCACUACCAAAGUAGAUCAUACAGGAAGCAAAACACAGGUCAAAAAAGGAAAGCAAGUAGAACUCUGCAUUUUCUGCACAUGAAAAUAUUAUAAUUAAGGAACUGGUUUUAUUUAUAUGCCUAAAAACAAUAUAGUGUUUGUUACUUACAUUUAAAAGCUGUUUUAAUUCAUUUUAUUGAUGUGGUCCAUGUCUAUGUACAACUAAGGAAGGCAAUGAUUCACUUCUCAUGCAUGUAAUUGCCAGUUGGAUAGGAUCUUUAAUUUUAAUUUCCUCAAUGAACAUAUGUUGUCCAAAUAAAGACAAAAGUGCUAAAGAUUCAAAUCAGAACAGAGGUGGAAUAUUUUAGGUCUUAAACAGCAGAAAACUGCAAUACAACUUAAUAAGAGCUUAGUUUUUAAGACUAAAUAAACAUACAUUUGUGUUUGAAUUUAGUUGUUAGGAGGCCAAUUUUUUUUAAAUCAAUUUUACAAACUGGAGGAAACUUCCUGGUAUUUUUUUAGAAGUUUAUUUAUUUAGGAAGUCAUUCAGAGUUAGCUCAAUAUAAGAACUGUAAAAAGCAGACACAUUAAGAGUGACAUUUAGAUGACAUGCCUUUGUGAAAUGAUUUAGAAUGCUGAGAUAUCCUAAAAGAGCAUUUUGUGGCCAUACCAAAACACCUGGUGCCUGGGAACUUUAACCAAACAAUCUAUAUUGUCACACAAAAAGAAAACUAAACACAACAUACUCUUGUACAUGGCAUUCAGUAGACACUAGUCUUCCUGUGGAGUAGGGCUCCUAGCUGUGGAGAGAUGUGCCCUGGUGUGCCCUCCUUAUAAUUGCACAGCUAGGCUGGAUACGGGGAGAACUUAAGUGAAAUUGAGUUUUUAAGCCUGCUUUUUUAAUCCAAAAUUUGUGACGUUGUUAAAUAAAAUUAUCUGAUGUUUCAGGGUCCGACUGAGAAAAGUUGCCAGAGCAGAGCUGUGUCAUAAAAGAAAUGUAGUCUCCAUUAGCUAAUUAUACUUUUGAUUUGAUGAAAUGACGAAAAGUGCAAAGCAACAAUUUCUUACUGACAUAUCAAUAGCAGUCCUAUUGGAUUUUAAUGUUGAGAUUGGUGUAAAACGCCAGAUUUUCCAACUCACUAGUAAAUUAGAGUGAGUCAUAUUUAAAGACAGACAUUUGUGCCAUCAUCAUUGAUAAAUAAGCUGUUUUGUUUUCUUUACUGUGCAGUAUUUCUGAUAGCAAUAUUGCAUUGUUGGGGCUUACAAGCAGCUUCAAUCUGCUUUGACAAAAUUUACUAGGUCUGUUUUUAACUGCUUUGUUGGGUAGGAGUGUUACUACAGUAACCGGUUACUAUAGUAACCUGAUACAUUUAGGUUAUGACCAAAUGUUUCUCUUGACAGUGUCUCCUUGUGUAUGUUGAACUGGAUUUGCAUUGUGUAAAUAUGGUGUCUGUGCUGGCAUCAAAGGAAAUGUGGGUUGGGUUUUUCUACUUUUAAUGUUUUAAGAGUUGUGCGUGAACAUUAGAAACAAAAAAAUACUCGCAUGAAAACCAAUUAGAUUUAAAUUGCAGCAAUUCAUGAAUGGUAGUGUGUAAUGGUAUGCAAUGGCCAAACUGUAAAACUUCACCUGAGCUCAGUGUUAUAUCGUUUCCAUUCUUUUUUUAUAUACUAUAGUCAUUCUGAUUAUAUUCACAAAAAUGGUGGUUCAUCCUCUCACAUGCAACCUGGUUGAUUAUCAAGUGACAUUUAAAGGAAAUAAAAAUUAAUUAUAUGCCA